GACGAACGCUGGCGGCGUGCUUAACACAUGCAAGUCGAACGGAAAGGCCCUGCUUUUGUGGGGUGCUCGAGUGGCGAACGGGUGAGUAACACGUGAGUAACCUGCCCUUGACUUUGGGAUAACUUCAGGAAACUGGGGCUAAUACCGGAUAGGAGCUCCUGCUGCAUGGUGGGGGUUGGAAAGUUUCGGCGGUUGGGGAUGGACUCGCGGCUUAUCAGCGUGUUGGUGGGGUAGUGGCUUACCAAGGCUUUGACGGGUAGCCGGCCUGAGAGGGGGACCGGCCACCUUGGGACUGAGAUACGGCCCAGACUCCUACGGGAGGCAGCAGUGGGGAAUAUUGCACAAUAGGCGGAAGCCUGAUGCAGCAACGCCGCGUGCGGGAUGACGGCCUUCGGGUUGUAAACCGCUUUCGCCUGUGACGAAGCGUGAGUGACGGUAAUGGGUAAAGAAGCACCGGCUAACUACGUG
rnacentral:rRNA from 1 species